rnacentral:rRNA from 1 species
GUCUACGGCCAUGCCACCCUGAACAAGCCCAAUCCUGUCUGAUCUCGGAAGCUAAGCAAGGUCGGAUCUGGUUAGUACUUGGAUGGGAGACCACCUAGGAAGACUAGGUACUGUAGGCA